rnacentral:rRNA from 1 species
AUGAACGCUAGCUACAGGCUUAACACAUGCAAGUCGAGGGGCAUCAGGAAGAAAGCUUGCUUUCUUUGCUGGCGACCGGCGCACGGGUGAGUAACACGUAUCCAACCUGCCCUUUACUCGGGGAUAGCCUUUCGAAAGAAAGAUUAAUACCCGAUGGCAUAAUGAUUCCGCAUGGUUUCAUUAUUAAAGGAUUCCGGUAAAGGAUGGGGAUGCGUUCCAUUAGGUUGUUGGUGAGGUAACGGCUCACCAAGCCUUCGAUGGAUAGGGGUUCUGAGAGGAAGGUCCCCCACAUUGGAACUGAGACACGGUCCAAACUCCUACGGGAGGCAGCAGUGAGGAAUAUUGGUCAAUGGGCGCUAGCCUGAACCAGCCAAGUAGCGUGAAGGAUGAAGGCUCUAUGGGUCGUAAACUUCUUUUAUAUAAGAAUAAAGUGCAGUAUGUAUACUGUUUUGUAUGUAUUAUAUGAAUAAGGAUCGGCUAACUCCGUGCCAGCAGCCGCGGUAAUACGGAGGAUCCGAGCGUUAUCCGGAUUUAUUGGGUUUAAAGGGAGCGUAGGUGGACUGGUAAGUCAGUUGUGAAAGUUUGCGGCUCAACCGUAAAAUUGCAGUUGAUACUGUCAGUCUUGAGUACAGUAGAGGUGGGCGGAAUUCGUGGUGUAGCGGUGAAAUGCUUAGAUAUCACGAAGAACUCCGAUUGCGAAGGCAGCUCACUGGACUGCAACUGACACUGAUGCUCGAAAGUGUGGGUAUCAAACAGGAUUAGAUACCCUGGUAGUCCACACAGUAAACGAUGAAUACUCGCUGUUUGCGAUAUACAGUAAGCGGCCAAGCGAAAGCAUUAAGUAUUCCACCUGGGGAGUACGCCGGCAACGGUGAAACUCAAAGGAAUUGACGGGGGCCCGCACAAGCGGAGGAACAUGUGGUUUAAUUCGAUGAUACGCGAGGAACCUUACCCGGGCUUAAAUUGCAGUGGAAUGAUGAGGAAACAUGUCAGUGAGCAAUCACCGCUGUGAAGGUGCUGCAUGGUUGUCGUCAGCUCGUGCCGUGAGGUGUCGGCUUAAGUGCCAUAACGAGCGCAACCCUUAUCUUUAGUUACUAACAGGUCAUGCUGAGGACUCUAGAGAGACUGCCGUCGUAAGAUGUGAGGAAGGUGGGGAUGACGUCAAAUCAGCACGGCCCUUACGUCCGGGGCUACACACGUGUUACAAUGGGGGGUACAGAAGGCAGCUAGCGGGUGACCGUAUGCUAAUCCCAAAAUCCUCUCUCAGUUCGGAUCGAAGUCUGCAACCCGACUUCGUGAAGCUGGAUUCGCUAGUAAUCGCGCAUCAGCCACGGCGCGGUGAAUACGUUCCCGGGCCUUGUACACACCGCCCGUCAAGCCAUGGGAGCCGGGGGUACCUGAAGUACGUAACCGCAAGGAUCGUCCUAGGGUAAAACUGGUGACUGGGGCU